ensembl:lncRNA
ACUCAUCCCAAGUUUUAAUAAGGAGAUAUAUGUAUUUGCGUCAGGUAUUUUCAAGGAACAAAAAACAGUACAGAUAGAGUUGAAGCCUUUUUGAACUCUCUUCCAGUUCCAUUUGCUUCCCUCCCUCCCUGUGUUUAACAUAAUCUUGAGACAUAAUUUAUUAUUUCAGAAUAAACCACUAUUCUGAAAUCGAUGUGUCCAUUCUACCCUAGGCUUAAUACUUAUAUUACAUAUAAGAAGUACCGUUCGUAUUAUAUUCUGUUGUUGUGUUCCAAGGGACACUAUUCCUUCCUUCCACUUGGAUUAUUUUCUUUAUUCUUGCGGCUGGGUUGGAAACAUGUGUUUUCUUCCUAUUCUUUUAGUACUGCAUUUUCAGGCCAGUGUACAUGUUACAUUUAAGGACCUUAGAAUCUUAAAUCUGAUUCUCCCAACUCCCGUUCUUAGCAUUAUCUAUCAUAUUGUUCUGUUUUACCAUCAUUGCCCAUCACCCAUUAAUAUUUGAUCCCAUAAUUCUGAGUGUUCGUAGUGGGAGGAACAUCUGUCUGCAUCAGCUCAGUUUGUCAUGCUGCUGGAAAUCCACAAAUAACCUUCUAAUUGGUGUUCCUUCUGAUCCAUUUAAACCCUGCUACCAGAUUAAUUUUUGCAAAGCACAGCUUUCUUUCAUUCCGCCUCUCUCCCACCUGUGAACACUAUGUUACUAUCUAGCUCAAGUGCCCACCAACAAUGUUUGGAAGCAUAUAAUAUGCCCCAUAAUGUUUUUCUAACUUCUCUCACUGUUUCCAUCGCGUAAUUUAGAGCAUGAUCCUUUUUCACUGGCCUGCAAUAUCUUCUGUGUUCAUUUCUGUAUCUGUGCUUUUCAUUAUACCUGUAGGCAAUUUUUCUCUUCUUUUCCUCUAUCCAAAUCCUAUCCUUUCCCCUAAAUCCACUUAGGGACCCAUUUGUGAGAGGUCUUAUGCCAACUACUCCAUUUCUAUCUUUAUCUCUUGCCUUAUCUCUUGAGGCUGUAAGAGUCUAUCACACAAUUUAAUGUUGAUCACAUGCUCUCUGAAGCCCUCUGUAUUCCUUAAAGGAUUAUUCCCUCUUGAUUGGAAAAUAGGGUUGGUUGUUUACUGGCUCUUUGAUUUAGCUGACAGAUGCAAUAGUAUUAUUAACUUAAAUUCAACUUCAAAACACUUUAGCAAUUAAAUACAAAGCAUUCGUAUCCUGUGUGUAGAGAAUUUGCUGGGCUAGUUUUAUAACUAUAAGAUUUCUGAUUAAAUCAGUGCUGUCUCCCUUCCUUGUUAUUUCACGUCACUGUUACAGUAAUUCAAAUAUUUAGAGAGAAUGUAUGUGCAAGUCUCUGUGUUAGACAUGAUGGAGAAAUGCAGAGACAUAGGACACAAAAGCGUACCCACCCACUAGACACCAUGCAAAGACAUGGUAGCAUCUGGACUGUCUGAGUUCAAAUCUCAGUUCUAUCGCUCACUGGCUGCCUGACCUUCAAAAGUUCCUCUACAUACUUUAGUAACUAAUCAUGCAAAUAAGGGCAAAUGGCCAACCUUCUGAAGUGGCAUUUACUGGGAAACCCUAAUGGAGGGAAGAAAACAACCAGGUCUGUGGGUCUCCGGUUACUCAUUCUAGGACAGCACACAGCAAUCUGGCAGUUCUGGAUGGUGGACUUCAGGAGAGGGGCCCUCUACCCUUGGGUUGUGGAGCUUUGAAGCUGCAUGAUUAGGAAAGCCCAGGCUCCUCUCUGGUGUCAUCAGAGGCUGGAAUACAACAGCGAUGUGGUGGUAGGUCUUGCCUCCAGCCCUAUCCUUCCAUCUCAGCGUGGGUGGUUGAGGGCGGAACGCCAGUCCUUCUGUCUGCAAGAUCAGACAGCUGGGAUACGAGCUACCAGCAGGAUCCCUUACCUUAACAUUCAUGGUUGGGGAAGCACCAGCCACUCCCUGGUAAGAAGAAUGGUGUAGAGGGCAAGCCUUGUGUUUGGCUAUGGCCCAGGGUUUAAGGCAAUCAGUCCUGGUCAGUUUCCAUGGACCAUUGCAGUAAACUAGCUCAUUUUUUCCAUAAAGUCAGCCUGUAGAGGAUCGGUCUUAGAGAAGUUACUCUUACCUCUCUCUUCCUUCAUCUGUAACACAGGCAUAAUGAUAGUACCUACCCUCACGGGGUUAGUGUGAGUUCAAAUGGGUUGCAUGUUAUAUACAGAAAAGAGUGACUGGCACACGCUAAGUGCUCAAUAAGCAUUAGCCUUUAUCAUGCAUGCAUCCAAAAUAACACAAAUGACUUUGAAGUGAUACCAUGCUAUACAUGUUCAGAGUAAGUCCCUAAGUAGAAUUUCCGGAAAUGAUCAUCUACAUCAAUCCAUAGUUUGCCUCCUCUCAAAUCUGACUGUACAGAGUCUCAGAUCUUGUUGCCAGCAUCCCUGUCUGGAUUCUGCACUCUGCCUUUUCUAUCUGCUUGUUUUGAUCCCUGGACUGUAAGGCCUGAGCACUUCCGGCCCCCACUUCUGCCUACGAGCUAACUGGUCUGGAUGGCUAAGCACACCUGGCUCCUCCUCACUUGAGGACAUCCCAGACCUCCUGGGGACCUCAGCCCCACCGCGGCCCUGCUGCUACUUGCCGUUCCUCACCCCAGGACCUCUCACUCACCCUGGACUGAACUUCACUGAGGGUCUGCCAUCUAGUCAAGCUUUACCCUUCAUCCUCUCUUCCUCCGACACCCUGUCCUUUACCUUCCCCUCUCUUUCUGAAGGUCAUUUUUGACCCUUUGGUCAGGCUUGUCUUAGUCAAGCUGCUAUAACAAAAUACCAUAGAUUGGGUGGCUUAAACAACAAAUGUAUUUCUCACUGUUCUGGAAGCUGGGAGGUCCAAGAUCAAGGUGCUGGCAAAUCAUGUGUCUGGUGACAGCACGCAUCCUGAUUCGCAGAUAGCUGCCUUCUUGCUGUGUCCUCGUAUGGCAGAAAGAGAGAUUAUCCAUCUCAUGCUUCUUCUCAUAAGGGCACUCAUCCCAUCAUGAGGGCUCCACCCUCAGGAUCUAACUACCUCCCAAAGGCCCCACGUCCAAAUAUCAUCACAUUGAGGAUUAGGGCCGCAACAUAUGAAUUUGCAGGGGCAGGGGGACACACAAACAUUCAGUUGAUAGCAAGGCUCUACCCCCUGAUAUAACUUCUAUUCUUACUUUUUCUAGCCUCUCUGUCUUGUCACUUCUCAUAGCAUUUCUUUUGUGAGUGAUAGAACCAAAUCAUAACAUAUUUUGUAGAAUAAUAUGAGGCACACAGUAGGUGCUCAAGAAUUAAUAAGACAAAACCCUUGCUAUCAGGGAACUCACGGCUUGCAAGAGAGACAAAAUAAAACAAUGUGAUAAGUUUCUUUUUAACAGAAGUGUGCAUAGGGCAGUCGGGAAAUAUGAUUAUCACUGAGAAAGGGUGAAUGGGUCAGAAUUCAAUUUUUGGCAUUUACCAUGUGCCAGCUACUGAGUUUAGGAAAAGGGAGAAAGGACUAUUUCUUUAGUUGAAACAGAAUUAAAGCCUGAUGCACAAAGCUGGUGGCAAUGAAGACGGAAAUCCUAUAAGCUUGUUUCCAUAUUUGCUUCAUGUAUGUAUUCUAUAUACUUGUCUUUCUAUCUUUCUUGCUGAACCAUUUCAAAAUAAAUGAGACAUCAUGACAUUUCAUCCCUUAAUACUUCAACAAGUAUUUUUCAAAAAUAAAUAAAACCUAAGGACAUUCUCUUAUGUAACCACAAUACCAUUAUCAUACCUAACAGUCAACAAGAAUUCUCUAAUCUACUCCACUACCCAACUGUGCUUUAUUGUCCCUUUGCUCCCCACCUUUAGAUGUAUUAUCUGUCUUCUCUGCUGCACUCUGAGCCCCAAGAGGCUAACUAAUACAGUCUGCCAUAGACAGGCGUCCAAUUGGAUUCAGCCAAUGGGAGGUACCCACAGGCAUCAGAAGCCAUCAGGGAGCACCAGGAAAGGAUGAGAACAGAAGGAGAGAGGCUGGGAUACUUUUUCUCUGCUCCUCCCUUCCAGGUUGCUGGUCUAGCAUUGGGUACACAUGACUGAGCUCUCAUAACUGCCCCCAUGCCUGCUCCAUCAGGUCCAUGUGUGGUGAGGGCUUCCCUACUAAUCCUGGGUACCUCAGCAUCCCCUGUUGGUGUCUCUAGCCCUGACCACACCUCUCCAUAGUCUCUUCAUUAAAUACUUCAUGAUUGAGUUCUUUUGAGUUUUUCAUCUGUUUCCUGCAAUGACCCUGCCUGAUAUUUGAACAAUCCAUAUUCCAAUGUUCACCAUUGGCCCAAUGUGUUUCUGA